GUUGUUGGGUAGGGGAGCGUUCUGUAAGCCGUUGAAGGUGUGCUGUGAGGCAUGCUGGAGGUAUCAGAAGUGCGAAUGCUGACAUAAGUAACGAUAAAGCGGGUGAAAAGCCCGCUCGCCGGAAGACCAAGGGUUCCUGUCCAACGUUAAUCGGGGCAGGGUGAGUCGACCCCUAAGGCGAGGCCGAAAGGCGUAGUCGAUGGGAAACAGGUUAAUAUUCCUGUACUUGGUGUUACUGCGAAGGGGGGACGGAGAAGGCUAUGUCAGCCGGGCGACGGUUGUCCCGGUUUAAGCAUGUAGGCGGAGGUUCCAGGUAAAUCCGGUACCUUAUUAACGCUGAGGUGUGAUGACGAGGCACUACGGUGCUGAAGUGAUAAAUGCCCUGCUUCCAGGAAAAGCCUCUAAGCAUCAGGUAACACGAAAUCGUACCCCAAACCGACACAGGUGGUCAGGUAGAGAAUACCAAGGCGCUUGAGAGAACUCGGGUGAAGGAACUAGGCAAAAUGGUGCCGUAACUUCGGGAGAAGGCACGCUGAUA
rnacentral:rRNA from 2 species